rnacentral:rRNA from 1 species
GAUGAACGCUGGCGGCGUGCCUAAUACAUGCAAGUCGAGCGAACAGACGAGGAGCUUGCUCCUCUGACGUUAGCGACGGACGGGUGAGUAACAAGUGGAUAACCCAUCUAUAUGACUGAGAUUACUUCGGGAAAGCGGAGCUAAUACCGGGUAAUAUAUCUAACCGCAUGGUUUAAUAGUGAAUGAGGGUUUUGCUGUCACUUAUAGACGGAUCCGCGCCGCAUUAGCUAGUUGGUAGGGUAACGGCUUACCAAGUCAACGAUGCGUAGCCGACCUGAGAGGGUGAUGGGCGACCCGGGAGCUGAGACGCGGUCCAGGGCCCUACGGGAGGCACCAGUAGGGAAUCCACGGCAAUGGGCGGAAGCCUGACGGAGCGACGCCGCGUGGGUGCUGAAGGUCUUCGGGUCGUAAAACUCUGUUAUUGGGGAAGAACGAAUGUGUAAGUAACUAAGCACGUCUUGACGGUACCUAAUCAGGAAGCCACGGCUAACUACGUG